UCACAUUGAGGGGUCUGGUGAAGGCAGGUGCAGCAUCAGGUGCAGCUCAUCAAUGGGCUUUAAAAGGGCAAGCAUAGUCAGGAGACAGUGGGAUUCAUUCUGCUGAGAUGCUGUGAUAUUUUGAGGUUUGCUUUCAUCUGUCUGCUCUUAGCCAUUGAGGCCACUGGGCUGAGCUGAAGCACCACAGGAAACAAUGGAGGCCAUGAGAUGAUUUUUAUUCUUAGCCUAAAUAGAGACGGCAGAUACGCAAAGGUCCCUCUGACAGGCGGCAUUAGAAGUAGGUGCGUUUCUAGCAGCAACUGCGGCAAGCAGUGCGGAGGACGAGCCUGGGACAAUACCAAGACGCC
rnacentral:lncRNA from 1 species